rnacentral:rRNA from 1 species
AUACGGAGGUGGCUAGCGUUGUUCGGAAUUACUGGGCGUAAAGCGCGCGUAGGCGGUCCGCGUAGUCAGGCGUGAAAGCCCCGGGCUCAACCUGGGAACUGCGUUUGAUACUGGCGGGCUAGAGUCCGGGAGAGGGUAGUGGAAUUCCCAGUGUAGAGGUGAAAUUCGUAGAUAUUGGGAAGAACACCAGUGGCGAAGGCGGCUACCUGGACCGGUACUGACGCUGAGGUGCGAAAGCGUGGGGAGCAAACAGGAUUAGAUACCCCAGUAGUCC